UAUCACUGGUAACGCAGACUGCGGCGUCAAUCGCGGAGGGAAGGGAAAGGAGGAGGCCCCAGUUGUCAUAGCAGCACCGGGAGGUGGGGUUCGGUUGCCAAAGCAGCGAAUAAGGGGUAUCAGUGAUCCUGACCAAUUUUGUGUCAUCUGAAGAUCUGAUGAGCAGUCCCUCCAAAUUUCCAUCCAAGUCAUUAAUGAAAAUAGUGAACAGUAGAGUAUCCUGCACUGAGCAAAGGGUUGGACUACAAUUCUAUAAAUCUACACAUCUACUCUAAUUUCUGAUUGAAUUUUAAAGAACAGUUUUAGGUAAAUUGUUAAUAUUAACCCAUAGAAACUGGACCUAGUGUGAUCUCUAAAGACUAUCUCCAACUCAGCUUUAAUUGGAAGAGCACCAUUAUAGAAUCACAGAGUUGGAAGGCGAGAUUACCAUCUCUUCCUAACAGUAAGGGGAAACAUCCACCAACUUGGGUGCUGCAGAAGGAUCUGAUCUGGAGUGCUGCCUGGGGUCUCUAGGAAAGUUUGUUUGUCCUUCUCCCAUACCACAUCUAGGUAUCCCCCAAAUUAAAAUAAUGUGAAAUGAAGAAGCAUAUGAGAAAAACGCUGGGUAGAAAUAACCCCAAAGGAGAGAAAGCAUACAAAUCCUCACAUGGUUGUGCAACUGACUAGGUCCUGUAGAUCAAAACAACUGAAUAUGAAAACUGCUGGGCAAUGUCGACUCUUGCAUCAAGGGAAACACGUUUGUGUUUGUGUGUGUGUGUUAACAAAUAUAAAUAAAAUGGAAAAUAAGUAACAAAA